UACGAAGGGAGCUCGCGUUGUUCGGAAUCACUGGGCGUAAAGCGCACGUAGGCGGAUGUGUCAGUCAGGGGUGAAAUCCCGGAGCUCAACUUCGGAACUGCCUUUGAUACAGCACGUCUUGAGUCCGAUAGAGGUGGGUGGAAUUCCUAGUGUAGAGGUGAAAUUCGUAGAUAUUAGGAAGAACACCGGUGGCGAAGGCGGCCCACAGGAUCGGUACUGACGCUGAGGUGCGAAAGCGUGGGGAGCAAACAGG
rnacentral:rRNA from 1 species